UAUAGUGUGACGUAAACACAUUAAUACGCCUGCGCGGAGAAUUUGAUGUGACUUUUCACAACAUAACGACGUUUCACAGUUUUCCCUUGCAUACCAGUGAUCUAUGAUGGAUAAAUUACUCUGUGCUAUGUGCCUGACCUUGUUCAUCGGCUUAUCUCUCUUCUCCAUCAAUGACAAUGGGUUCAUUCAAGCAGCCAAACCAGUCCGCAAACCGAACUGUCACUGCAACCGACCACCCUGCCAUCCUUGUGAAAAGAAAACUGUCAGGACAGGAAGAAGGUCAACUCGGUCCAACCCACGCAAUUAAUCACACCAGUGUCACUGGGAAAUGGACUGACCAACAUAAUGGACACUUCUAACUCAAUAUUUCGUAAUUGUUUUUAUCGUUUCUUUGAGAACGUCAUAUUUGGACUUUCACAUUCGGUAUCAUUUGCAAUGACACAAAGAUUGAUUGUUAAAAUUGUUUGUACAUAUAUUGUGCGCACGAUGUUUUUGGUGUGUUGCGCGAUCUUACCACUGCAAUAUUUGUCAGAAUAGUAAAAAAUAAAUUCAUAAGACCUUU